UGCAUAUAUACCCAUUUUAAAACUCGCUGC
rnacentral:piRNA from 1 species